AAAUUAUAAUCCGGCGAGGGAAGGCGGAGAGUUGUAGCUGGCCCUAGGGCAUGUGCACGCUCUCUUCUGGACUUUCGCCGUAUGGGCGCGGGGCGACCCGCGUCUUCAUAUACCUCUUCGUGUAGAAAGUCUUUGAAUGUUAUCAUCAUCAUCGAGUCGCGACUUCUAGGAGACGCGAUUCUUUGAGACAAAAGUUAUUACAACUUUCAGCAACGGAUCUCUUGGCUCUCGCAUCGAUGAAGAACGCAGCGAAUCGCGAUAUGUAAUGUGAAUUGCAGAUCUACAGUGAAUCAUCGAAUCUUUGAACGCACCUUGCGCUCCUCGGUGUUCCGAGGAGCAUGCCUGUUUGAGUGUCAGUAAAUUCUCAACCCCUCUCGAUUUGCUUCGAUAGGGUGCUUGGAUGUUGGGGGCUGCCGGAGACACUGGACUCGUCCAGGACUCGGGCUCCUCUUAAAUGAAUCGGCUUGCGGUCGACUUUCGACUUUGCAUGACAAGGCCUUUGGCGUGAUAAUGAUCGCCGUUCGCCGAAGUGCAAGACAGAACGGUCCCGUGCCUCUAAUGCGUCGACGCCUCUCGGGGCCGUCUUCCUCAUUGACGUUUGACCUCAAAUCAGGUAGGACUACCCGCUGAACUUAAGCAUAUCAAUAAGCGGAGGAAAAGAAACUAACAAGGAUUCCCCUAGUAACUGCGAGUGAACCGGGAAAA
rnacentral:rRNA from 1 species